GACGAACGCUGGCGGCGUGCUUAACACAUGCAAGUCGAACGAUGAACCACUUCGGUGGGGAUUAGUGGCGAACGGGUGAGUAACGCGUGGGCAAUCUGCCCUUCACUCUGGGACAAGCCCUGGAAACGGGGUCUAAUACCGGAUACAACACUCUCGGGCAUCCGAUGAGUGUGGAAAGUUCCGGCGGUGAAGGAUGAGCC
rnacentral:rRNA from 1 species